AUUGAACGCUGGCGGCAUGCCUUACACAUGCAAGUCGAACGGUAACGCGGGGCAACCUGGCGACGAGUGGCGAACGGGUGAGUAAAGUAUCGGAACGUGCCCAGUAGUGGGGGAUAGCCCGGCGAAAGCCGGAUUAAUACCGCAUGAGACCUGAGGGUGAAAGCGGGGGAUCGCAAGACCUAGCGCUAUUGGAGCGGCCGAUAUCAGGGUAGGUAGUUGGUGGGGUAAAGGCCUACCAAGCCGACGAUCUGUAGCUGGUCUGAGAGGACGACCAGCCACACUGGGACUGAGACACGGCCCAGACUCCUACGGGAGGCAGCAGUGGGGAAUUUUGGACAAUGGGCGCAAGCCUGAUCCAGCCAUGCCGCGUGCGGGAAGAAGGCCUUCGGGUUGUAAACCGCUUUUGUCAGGGAAGAAAUCUUCUGGGCUAAUACCUCGGGAGGAUGACGGUACCUGAAGAAUAAGCACCGGCUAACUACGUGCCAGCCGCCGCAGUAAAAC
rnacentral:rRNA from 1 species